rnacentral:rRNA from 1 species
AGUGGCGCACGGGUGAGUAACACGUGAAUGACAUGCCCUUGAGUGGGGGAUAGCCCAGGGAAACUUGGAUUAAUACCCCAUGGUAUCGCGAGAUUAAAGGCGGCCGCAAGGCUGUCGCUCGGGGAUUGGUUCGCGGCCUAUCAGCUAGUUGGCGGGGUAACGGCCCACCAAGGCGACGACGGGUACCUGGUCUGAGAGGACGAUCAGGCACACUGGAACUGAGACACGGUCCAGACACCUACGGGUGGCAGCAGUCGAGAAUAAUUCACAAUGGGGGCAACCCUGAUGGUGCAACGCCGCGUGGAGGAUGACGGUCUUCGGAUUGUAAACUCCUGUCAUCCGGGAGCAAGACCUGGGGGUUAACAGCCCACAGGGUUGAUAGUACCGGAAGAGGAAGGGACGGCUAACUUCGUGCCAGCAGCCGCGGUAAUACGAAGGUCCCGAGCGUUGUUCGGAAUCACUGGGCGUAAAGGGAGCGUAGGCGGUCGGGCAAGUCAGACGUGAAAUCCCGGGGCUCAACCCCGGAACUGCGUCCGAUACUGCCUGACUGGAGCAAUGGAGGGGUAGCCGGAAUUCACGGUGUAGCAGUGAAAUGCGUGGAUAUCGUGAGGAACACUCGUGGCGAAAGCGGGCUACUGGACAUUUGCUGACGCUGAGGCUCGAAGGCCAGGGUAGCGAAAGGGAUUAGAUACCCCUGUAG